UACGUAGGAGACGAGCGUUGUCCGGAGUUACUGGGCGUAAAGGGUGCGCAGGUGGCGGCGCGCGUGGGGGGGUGAAAUCGCCCGGCUAACUGGGCGGGGGGCCUUCCAGACGGCGUGGCUUGAGCAGCGGAGGGGGGACGUGGAAUUCCGGGUGGGAGCGGUGAAAAUGCGUAGAGAUCCGGAGGGAAACACCCGACGGCGCAGGG
rnacentral:rRNA from 1 species